CGGCGUGGGGCAGCUACACAUGCAGUCGAGCGAGCUGAGUCUUCGAUACCUUCCGAGUGAUUUGUUGGACGCUAACGGCGGAGGGGUGAGUAACUCGUGGGCGAUCUGCCCUAAAGACUGGGAUACCUCUUGGAAACACGUGCUAGUACCGGAUGACGGACCGAAUCGCAUGAUUCUAUUUUGACGGGCGAUGGCUGCUGUCACUUUUGGAUGAGCCCGCGGCGCCCUAGGUAAUUAGUGGGGUAAGGGCCUACCAGAGCAUUGAUGCCUAUGCGACUUAAAAGACUGCUCGACCCCAUUGGGACGGAGACACGGGCCAUUCUCCAACAGGAGGCAAACCUUGGUAAUCUUCCGCCAUGGACGCAAGUCUGAUGGACCAACGCCACGUGAGUGAAGAAAGGUUUCAGAUCCUAUAGCUCUAUUGUUGGUGAAGAAGGAUAUACGUGAUAACUGGUCUUUAUUUGACUGCGAUCCACCAGAAAGUCACGGCUAACUACGUGCCACCUUCCGCGGAAUUACUGAGGUGGCAAGCGUUGUCCGGAUUUAUUGGGCAUAAAGCUAACGCCCGCGGAAUGAUCCUUCUGAUGUGAAUUCCCACUGCUCAACCGUGGAACUGCAUAGGAGACUGUCAUUCUUGAGUGCAGAAUAAGAUAGUGGAAUUCCAUGUGUAGCGCUGGAGUGCGUAGAUGCAUGGAAGAACACCACUGGCGAACGCGCCUCUAUGGUCUGCAACUGACGCUGAUGCUCUACCGCGUGGGUCCCCAACAUGAUUAGAUACACUGAUAUGCUAUGCAGUAAACUAUUAGCGCUAGGUGCUGGGGACUUUCCGGUCCUCACUGCCGCAUCAACGCAUUAGUCGCUCCUCCUGGGAAGUGCGACCGACCGUUGAAACUGUGGGAAUUUACAUGAGCUCGCUCCAGCGCUGGAGAAUGUGGCUACACUCGACGCGACGCGAACAUUCUUAACAUGUCUUGACAUUCUGCACUACACCUAGCAGAUAGGUGCUGCCCUUCUGUCAUCAGCACACGUGUGGAGCAUGUCUGUCGUCAGCUCCUGUCAUGACAUGUCUUGUUAAUUCCUGCUACGAACGCGAACCUUUGUCUAUACUGCCGUCCAUUAAGCUGGGCAUCUGAGGGAAGAUGCUGAUUACACACCCGGGACGAUAUGGGUGGAUGAUCUCCAGGUCAUCAUAGUCGCCUUGUGACUAGGCUGACACACCUGCUCCCAGUUGACUACACGGACGAUCUAGUACGGUACGAAUCGCUCUAUACACAUGUUCUCGGAAUUCCGGAAUGUGCACAA
rnacentral:rRNA from 1 species